rnacentral:rRNA from 1 species
AACGGCCGCGGUAUCCUAACCGUGCGAAGGUAGCGUAAUCACUUGUUCUUUAAAUAAGGACUAGUAUGAAUGGCACCACGAGGGUUAAACUGUCUCCUUUUUUUAAUCAGUGAAACUAAUCUCCCCGUGAAGAAGCGGGGAUUCUUUUAUAAGACGAGAAGACCCUAUGGAGCUUUAAACAAGUUAACACCUGCUACUAAUCUUCACUUUCCUGAACCACCACAUUAAGUAUAGCACCUCUGAUUAACAGUUUUCGAUUGGGGUGAUCAUGGAGCAAAAAUCAACCUCCACGACGAAAAGGAACACCUCCUUGAGCCAAAAGCUACAACUUUAGGCACUAAAAAACUAACGCACUUUGACCCAAUUCUUUGAGCAACGAACCAAGUUACCCUAGGGAUAACAGCGCAAUCCACUUUAAGAGCCCCUAUCGACAAGUGGGUUUACGACCUCGAUGUUGGAUCAGGGUAUCCCAGUGGUG